rnacentral:SRP_RNA from 1 species
CCGCGCUAGUUGGGGAGUCAGCGGUUCUCUGUACCUGAAGUCCGCUAUAGCAGGAGCGAAUUCCGUCAAUGAGGCCCACCGGUGUGCUGUCGGAUCCGGGCAAGCAGUGAUGAUAAGCCGAUCCCGCGCAACAAAAACCCGUGAACCAUGUCAGGCGGGGAACCGAGCAGCAUUAAGCGGUUCUUUUGUGUGCCUCGGGUCUAGCGGUUUUGAGCCGGCUGCCCGGGUUACGGGCGUAUCGGUGUUUCGAAGGACGGUGUGCGG